CCAAUCUUUUCUCCACCCCGCACGGCCGGCCGCCCCCAUCUCGUGGUCAGAGCGGUUUCGCUUAUUUUCCCCUGUUGAUUACCCAACAAAGCACCGGAAUCGUUUCCUUCUCACUUCAGUUUCUCCCCCACCAUAAAUCUUUCCCCAAUCCUCGUGGUGUGGCGGCUGGACGGCAAUCUCCUCGCGUCAAUUCCGCCGUUGUUACUCCCCUUCGAUGCCUCCCUGCGCGAUGUGACGCGGGCGGAGCUGCGGUUCCAUCGCCGCCCACCGAGAACAUUGAGUUGCGCAACCAAAUCAGGUUGUGUGCACUCCAUCACUCUGCUCAUGACCCUCCUCGCGCCGGAAGCAGCCAUCCCUGCCGCGGCGCUCGAUCUGAAAAAUAGUUCGCGUUCCGGCAGGAGGAGCUCGCCAAGGAGAAGCUGCUGGGACGGUAGGCAUCCACGAGGGCCGCCUGUUCCUCUUCUACAAGGCCCCCCAGGAGUGGUCAUCCCACGUUUAGGCCGACCGCCUCCCCGCCUCCUUGCUGCAGGUCAUAAGCCUAACCCGAACAAGACCGUGAGCAUCUCCUCUCCUUCUCCCUCCCUCUUGAUUUGCUUUAUGAGUGCCUUGAUUUGAUGUAGUGAUGUGACAUCCGUAUCCCCUCUCCUCUCUGCUGGAGCGGCAAAGGUCAGCCUACCGGUCGCUGCUACGGGUUGAUGUUUCUAUCACUAUUGUCUCAGUUGGUGGAGUAGUACAUCUAGCAUCAUAGAUUUUCUCUUUAGUGGUAGAUGUGACAUCAGUCUCGCCACCCCACAUCCUAAUCAAGUCCCAGGCCCGACGAGUCCUAGUGUGCUUCCGGUAAAUAUGUGUUCCUCUUCAGUGUGUGUUCCUUCUCCAUCCUUAUAUUGCAUUAACAGAUUGAAGUCAAGUCGCAUGUAUAUUCGGCGUGUUCCAUGUGGUAGAUGCAUGUCCGCUAGCAUCAUCGUCAGGUUUCCUUGGUUGUUUAAUGGAUUAAGUUCCAUGGUAUAAUAAAAAUCAAUUUCGCUUGUAUGACGAGCUGCUAUUUUAUCUCAUUGUGUUUUGCCUCAGUGUCUCACCGGAACAACUUUGUUUAAGUAAAUUCUCUUCUUGACCUUACAUAUCUCUUGAGUAUAUUAUUACUGGAUCAUUGACCACUGUUGUUGUACUAUAUACGAGCUUUAGGUACGCUGAAGGCAUGCCCAUUGAACUGCCAUGCCAUUUUAUUUUCAGUAACAGUGGGUAUGUCAUGUACACAUACUUUUCUGACUAUCAAAUCAAACAGAGAUUGGGUUUUUGAGCUACAUAUCCGGCUAUCCGCGCCUCAAGCCCUCGCCGAGUUGACAGAUGGUUUGGACCUUUCUUGAUUAAUGCAACUCCGUUAAAUUUCAGCGUUCCUGCUUUCACAUUUAUUGCAAAUAUGGAGGGUUGUUGAUUAUUUCUUCAGGUAUAUAUGUUUUGCAAGAUUUCAGUCGAGAUCGAGUAUAGCAGUUUCUCUGUCAAUGAUUUCAAAUAUCAAAACCUUUGCACCCCGUUGGCACCACAUGUCUUUAUAACAUUAUCCAUUCAUUAAGUCCAUUUACAUAUAAACAUGGAAUGUUCUCAAAGAUAAUCUCUUUUUUUUUUCAGAGUAUUCUCAAAGAUAAUCUCAACGCCACACAUACGAUCAUAUAGUUCUUGACUCAACCAAAUGAAGCAAUUUCAUUAGAGUAGAUAUUUUACUAAAUGGCAUUCAUGUUAAUCCUUUCAUGCACGUCAGCAUAUGUCGUACCACCACCAAAUAGCCAACAUUUUUUUCUUUCCUUAAUGUGCACCUCCCAGUUAGUUGAUUGGCAAGUUUUAGUUCUCAUACUAUUAAUUCAACUAUUCACAUUUCGUGUAACUAAAUCUCACUGAACUAUGUUACAAGCAAUUCCAGCAGCAACGCGCGGGGUAUCAUCUAGUUACAGACAAAGUGAUGGCAUCACAAUUAGCGUUAGGAACUGCAUGUGAUGGUGAAAGUCUAAUAAAAAGAUGCGGCACUGCAUUCCUUUGGUCAGCAGUGUUCAUAUUUUUGCAACUCAUUCUCUUGGACGUGAUUACCAAAUAGCCUGUCCUAUACUGAUAUGGUAUUGAUUAUGAACGUGAUUGAUUCCUUUAUUUUAAUUUAUAGUCUGUUACCAAAUA